rnacentral:tRNA from 1 species
GUUGUCUUUGCCGAGUUAUUCAGGCGAAAGACUAGAAAUCUUUUGGGAUCUUCUCGCGCAGGUUCGAAUCCUGCCGACAACG